ACGUAGGUGGCGAGCGUUGUCCGGAUUUACUGGGCGUAAAGGGAGCGUAGGCGGACUUUUAAGUGGGAUGUGAAAUACCCGGGCUCAACUUGGGUGCUGCAUUUCAAACUGGAAGUCUAGAGUGCAGGAGAGGAGAAUGGAAUUCCUAGUGUAGCGGUGAAAUGCGUAGAGAUUAGGAAGAACACCAGUAGCGAAGGCGAUUCUCUGGACUGUAACUGACGCUGAGGCUCGAAAGCGUGGGGAGCAAACAGGA
rnacentral:rRNA from 1 species